AAGAAGCGGAGGGAAGCAACACAGCGCAGCGUGACUACGUGCUUGAUCUGUCUCCUCCUAAUGGGCAUGCAGAACCUCAGCUUUUAAGUUGGUCUCCGCAGAGGACAACUGCAUUCUCCAGCCUCCUGUACAGCAGAGAGUGCCAUGUGACUAAGACCAAGUUCUAACCAGUGGGAUCAAAGCAGGGAAGUGUUGCCUUCUUUGCCCCUUCCUGCUGGCUGGAAUAUGACAAAACGGCUGCAGCAUGAGCAACCUUCUUGGGCCCUGAGGUGGAAGCCACCUGUUGGUUGACAGACCAGAUGGUGGAGUGACCAGAUAGAAGGGGCCUGGUGAUUGUGGAUUCUGCCACACUACCUCUGGUCCCCUAUACCUAUGUGAAAGGAAAAGAAAUGUCUGCCAUGUU
rnacentral:lncRNA from 1 species